rnacentral:rRNA from 1 species
UACGUAGGGUGCGAGCGUUACUCGGAUUUACUGGGCGUAAAGCGUGCGCAGGCGGUUAUGUAAGACCGAUGUGAAAUCCCCGGGCUUAACCUGGGAACUGCAUUGGUGACUGCAUCGCUCGAGUAUGGCAGAGGGGGGUAGAAUUCCACGUGUAGCAGUGAAAUGCGUAGAGAUGUGGAGGAAUACCGAUGGCGAAGGCAGCCCCCUGGGUCAAUACUGACGCUCACGCACGAAAGCGUGGGGAGCAAACAGG